rnacentral:rRNA from 1 species
GUGCCAGCCGCCGCGGUAAUACGGAGGGGGCUAGCGUUGUUCGGAAUUACUGGGCGUAAAGGGCGCGUAGGCGGGCGCAUAAGUCGGGGGUGAAAUCCCGGGGCUCAACCCCGGAACUGCCUCCGAUACUGUGUGCCUUGAGGACGGGAGAGGUGAGUGGAAUUCCGAGUGUAGAGGUGAAAUUCGUAGAUAUUCGGAGGAACACCGGUGGCGAAGGCGGCUCACUGGCCCGAUCCUGACGCUGAGGCGCGAAAGCGUGGGGAGCAAACAGGAUUAGAUACCCUGGUAGUCCACGCCCUAAACGAUGAGUGCCAGUUGUUGGCGGGCAUGCCCGUCAGUGACGCAGCUAACGCUUUGAGCACUCCGCCUGGGGAGUACGGCCGCAAGGUUAAAACUUAAAUGAAUUGACGGGG